rnacentral:rRNA from 1 species
GUUUGAUCAUGGCUCAGAACGAACGCUGGCGGCAGGCCUAACACAUGCAAGUCGAGCGCACCUUCGGGUGAGCGGCGGACGGGUUAGUAACGCGUGGGAACGUACCCUUUUCUACGGAAUAGCCUUUGGAAACGAAGAGUAAUACCGUAUACGCCCUUUGGGGGAAAGAUUUAUCGGAGAAGGAUCGGCCCGCGUUAGAUUAGAUAGUUGGUGGGGUAACGGCCUACCAAGUCUACGAUCUAUAGCUGGUUUUAGAGGAUGAUCAGCAACACUGGGACUGAGACACGGCCCAGACUCCUACGGGAGGCAGCAGUGGGGAAUCUUAGACAAUGGGCGCAAGCCUGAUCUAGCCAUGCCGCGUGAGUGAUGAAGGCCUUAGGGUCGUAAAGCUCUUUCGCCUGUGAUGAUAAUGACAGUAGCAGGUAAAGAAACCCCGGCUAACUCCGUGCCAGCAGCCGCGGUAAUACGGAGGGGGUUAGCGUUGUUCGGAAUUACUGGGCGUAAAGCGCACGUAGGCGGAUUGGAAAGUUGGGGGUGAAAUCCCGGGGCUCAACCCCGGAACUGCCUCCAAAACUAUCAGUCUAGAGUUCGAGAGAGGUGAGUGGAAUUCCAAGUGUAGAGGUGAAAUUCGUAGAUAUUUGGAGGAACACCAGUGGCGAAGGCGGCUCACUGGCUCGAUACUGACGCUGAGGUGCGAAAGUGUGGGGAGCAAACAGGAUUAGAUACCUGGUAGUCCACACCGUAAACGAUGAAUGCCAGUCGUCGGGCAGUAUACUGUUCGGUGACACACCUAACGGAUUAAGCAUUCCGCCUGGGGAGUACGGUCGCAAGAUUAAAACUCAAAGGAAUUGACGGGGCCCGCA